CUGAAUUGCAGAUGUUCCCUCCAAGAGGGAAGGAGGGAGAGUGUGCAAUCUCCCUGGUCUGAAGUGAGAACGGCCUAUGCUCUCACUCUUUGUCCCCCUCCCCAGGGCAAUCCAGUUACCCACUGGGAGUGAGCUACCCCCUAACCCCGCAUGACCCUGUUCCCCGGGAGGGGCAGCCUGGGGAGUGACAGGCAUGACCUCGAUGGUGGGCCAGGGGCCUCCUCAAGGAGCAAAGAGAAGCUUGGUGGAAGAGAAAGCCGCUAGUAUUCAGCGAGAAGAUCACUCAAAUCCUUCACCAGCAUGCUCAGUGAAGAAUGCAUUCAAAAAAGUAGACUUUUUUUCUUCCUGGCAACAAAAUCUUGCCAA
rnacentral:lncRNA from 1 species